rnacentral:rRNA from 1 species
UACGAAGGUCCCGAGCGUUGUUCGGAAUCACUGGGCGUAAAGGGAGCGUAGGCGGUCGUGCAAGUCGCGUGUGAAAGCCCCCGGCUCAACUGGGGAGGGUCACGCGAUACUGUUCGACUCGAAGGCAGGAGAGGGAAGUGGAAUUCCCGGUGUAGUGGUGAAAUGCGUAGAUAUCGGGAGGAACACCAGUGGCGAAGGCGACUUCCUGGCCUGUUCUUGACGCUGAGGCGCGAAAGCUAGGGUAGCAAACGGG